rnacentral:rRNA from 1 species
CGUAAAGCGCGCGUAGGCGGAUUAGUCAGUUAGAGGUGAAAUACCCACGGGCUCAACCCUGGAACUGCCUUUAAUUACUGCUAGUCUUGAGUUCGAGAGAGGUGAGUGGAAUUCCGAGUGUAGAGGUGAAAUUCGUAGAUAUUCGGAGGAACACCAGUGGCGAAGGCGGCUCACUGGCUCGAUACUGACGCUGAGGUGCGAAAGUGUGGGGAGCAAACAGGAUUAGAUACCCUGGUAG